UGCAUAAGAAACAUCUCAAAUACAUCACUUAAAUUCAUAUAAUUCAACUACAUCAUUGUUUGGAAAAGAAAAAUAUAAGUACUAAAUUAAGUCUUGGACAAGCUCUUAACAACCAAGUGCUAAGUUAAGAUUCAACAAAUAUUAACCAACAAAAAGAAGCACAUAAUGUCAUUGAACAUCCACAAGCGGCUUCAUUUUUCUUUUCCCACCUACAAGUACAUAAAAUCAAUUAGUAUACCACAAAAAAUAAUUCUUGGAUUUUUGGGAGAAAAAACAAUCAGGCCAAUUUCAGUGUUCAAAGAGACUAACAAAGAAUGGGGCAAAAACAAUACAUAGCUCUCUUAGUGCAAGCUAAUUGUAAUAGGUAGUAUUGUGAAGAAUAUUUAUCUGCUAAGAGUUGAAUUUGAGUGGAUUUUCCUACAGAUCUAUACACAACUCAACUUAAGAAGAAUAAAAAAAUAAAAAAUAAAAAAUCCUAAGGAUUAAGAAAGAUAAAUGGAGAUUUAUUAGUAUACAUCCAAAAUUAGAAACUCAUUAAACAAUCCAGGGGUAAAAAUUGAGGAAUAAGAAUAUAACGUAUCUCAGGAUCAGACCAAAGACAUAAUAACAGAAACAUUUAAGGCAAACCACUACAAAGUUUUUACAUAAUAACCCAAAGCAAAGCAAACCAUUAUAAAAUUUUUACAUAAUAACCUAGAAACAAAACAGACGAAAAUUGGGCAAGUCCAUAUCCCAAACCUCUGUUAGGAAAAAUGUGUUCAGCAAACUUAUGGCUCCAACAAUAGAAAUUAACCCGUACACAACGAAACAAAUUAAUUGAUAUAAAAAACAGUCAAAGACAAAGCCAAAUAAGAAGAUUAACUAAUUUGGAGAUUGAAUUACAUAGUUACUUUUACAAAAUAUAGCAUAAGCCCAUUGUAUUUCAUAGUAAGCAACUGCAAAAAUGCCUAGAGGCAAAUUCAUAAAGGAAUAGUAGAUAGAAGAAAAAAAAGACGAGGAAAUAAACAGCAUGAAACAAACAAAUCACCUAACACAUCAUGGGGAAUUGACUUGUUAACGUUAAAGAGCAAAAUAAAACUUGGCACCUUCAUCCGAACAAGAACAGACGCUUACCCCUUACACAGAAUGGCUUAGGUUUUUCUUUAGAGUUUGAGGCUGACUUAUAAGAAUAUGAAGAAGAAAUGAUUGUGGAAGUUUGAUAGUGAUCAAGGAUUGAAUAUUGGGCUUAAAAUACAAAUUGGCAGUGAGGGCUGGUUUUCGAUCAUAAUGUUGAGACCACUAAUCCCCAAUACUUGUACCGUCUCACAUAAAAAUCCAAAUUUAAUAAACAUGAACUAAAUCCAGUGUAUUGAGUGUUAUUAUUUAAUGGAACAUAAAAUCUCUGGGUCAAAUAAUUCUAAAGUUAAACCAACAAUAAUCCUAAAAGCUAAAGUUGAUAAGAAAGGCCCAACAGUAUACUUCUAUCACACAAAAUUUGAAGAUAGAAAAAAGAAGGGCCUUUUUGUUUUUUAACUGAAACUGAAAAAAGAUUCAGUAUUAACAAUUCAUAAAUUUUAAAGACGUUGGUUUUCCAUCUUAACACUAAAAACUUGGUGUUUAUAUAUUCGAAUAUAAUUAAGCCAAAAAUUUUAAUUUAUCACUAAAUAGGAAAACAACUAAAUAAGCUGCAUAGUUUUAUUUUCCAAUAAAUGCUUAUUCAUUCCUUACCAUAUAAAAACCUAUCCUUCAUUAUUUAUUUAUUUUUUUAUAGGAAACAGAGAAAUUAGUAUUAAUAAGAACAAUAAUUACAAAAUGUCGAAAAGGAGUCCACAAAAAAAGGCUAUUGAAGUAUCACACACCAAGAGAAGAAUAAAUAGAAAAAUAGAAAACACUGAGGCAUUCAAACCCUCAACAAUAAACUCAACAUAUCAACUUUAAACAAAUAGAUUCUUGACUGUUCUUAGUGACAUUAAGAAACAAAUUAAAAGAAGGAAACUCCCCAGAAGAAACAUAAAAGACAAACUAAAUUUCACGAAAGCAUACAAACAACUACUCAGAUGUCCUAAAGAACUCUGUGCUCAACCUAAAGACAGAAAUGCCCUUUUGUUGGAGAAACUAUGAACACAACGCAUUAUAGGUACAAACAUGAUAAAAUGAUUUUCCAGGAUUCACUCGACAUGUCAUCCAAGGUGAUACAAAACGGUAGAACUAUAGAACUAGGACAAAACUUGCAGCAAGAUAAUGGCAAUUUCCCCCUUUCGUGUAAGAUAAUCAUAUUAUUCUUCAAAGAGAGACACACACAAAAAAAAAAAAAACCUACAAAAAAAAAAAAGCUUGUUGAAAACAAGCAAGCAUAUGGGUAUGAGUCUAUUGUUGUUUAUUUAUGAAUCAUGUUAAUAACCAGCCACAGAAAAUAGUAAACAAUAGUUUUCACACAAUCAAUGCAUAUUAACACAAGCCACGGAUUAUGAUUUCACUAACCAUUGCACACAAAGGUUCCAGACCAAUUUUAGAAGGAGGUUCUACAAGUUACUUUCCUUCAACUACUUGAAAAUCAAUCAUUAACUAAAGAAAUACACAUGAAAUUAGUUUAAAUAAUAGGAAAGGUAAGGAGACAUUUUAUAAAAACUCUUAAAUGUGGUACUCUGAUUUCCACAGACUGUGCAACAAAAAUAAAAUUGGAUGAACUAUAAUAAGUGAGAAGACAUAUUGUAAUUCUAUCAUCAAAGAAAGAUAAGCUUAAUCAUUUUUAAUUUUUUCUCAAAUAUCCAGUAGUACCUUAAGGUAAUAGGACAAGAUCACAGAAGUUGUCAUGAAGAGUGUAAAGCACUAAAUAACAAAAAUUAUACUAAUAAAUAAAACUCAAUUUAUUUUCUCCCUCAAUCAAUUGCUUUGAGCUUACUAUGAAUUCAACUAUGAAUUUGAGGAAAAAAUACAGACCUCAGUUUGCCAACUUCUUGUUCAUGAGAUUCAGCCGCAGUAAAUGCAAAGCUCCAUUUCUCGUCAAGCAUUGUUAACCUCUACGACAAAUUGAAGUUAAGAAGAUGAACAAAAUAAGUGUAAUGUGCAGGAAAAAAAAUGAAGUCUAUGGGUACAACAACACUUCAAGAUUUUUCAAGUUCUAGUUCAUUUAAAUAGACAUUCCUUGAACUUCAGCAGCAAAGAAAGUACAUUAUAGCAACAAUUUCAAUUCAUUUCAAUCUUUAGAAUUUUUUAUUUUAAAAAAAUAAAUUCCUUCAAACUAGUGAAAGGAAAAUAAAAGUGUGUUUACAGAAGAAAAAUCAUGGAAUGAAUUAAUGACCAUGCCAGUGAGGAAACACAGAAAUUUCUGAAUAAGAGCGAAACUAACCGUGCAAAUGAACAAAGAAAAUGUAAGUCUUCAAGUGCUACAACAAGCAAAACUACCUAAAAACAAGCAUUUUCUUCUUGAAUUAAAGACAAAUCAUGAACUUUGUGCAAUCUCAAAACAUUCAGACAAGCAUGAACUUAGUUAAUUCAUAUCAUAGUCAUUGUCUCUAUUAAAAAUCUUCCAACUGAAAAAAAUAAAAAAAUAAACAUGUUGGUUUCUAUAACAUAAUUUGCCUAUCUUUACAUGAAACAGAGCAAUAAAUAACAAGUAAUAAUUAUGAAAUACACAGCCAUUCAAUCUACAUAAUAUAGAAAUAUAGGAAAAAAAAGAAAAAAAUUCAAAUUACAAUUAAAUAAACAAAAAAUAGAUAUGGAAAAGAAAUCCCACCAAGACUGCACUACUGGGAGAAUUUCUCAACAUCUACAAAAACCCAGUAAAUUAAAAUUAACAAAAAACCCUAAUAAUCAUAAGCUAAAAUAAAACAAAUCUGUUAAUUAAUUUGACAAAGAAAAUAAAAUAUUAAGCAUUACCAGCAGUUAAAGCCUUAAUCAAGGCAACCUGUUUGCCCUUAAAGUCAUUGAAAAUCUCCUUCACAGGUCUACGUAUAAGGUGUGGUAUCCCUUCCAUAGCAAGAAAAUUAACUAAUUUCUCAAUAAUUUUAUUCAAAUUCAAGCAAAUGGGUUUUGAAUAUUAACAAAAAAAAGUGAAAUAUGACCAUAAAAAGAAAAAAAAUUUGAUGAAAGAAGCCUCGAUUACGGUUUUGGUCCGUUUUUCAAUUUGGGAAAAAAAAUGAAAAAGGGAAUAAAAGACUCACUUAGGGUUUUGGCUUUAUAUUAUCUAUUUGAGUUAAAUGAACGAGUUUGUGAAUGGACAAAAAAAAAAAAAAAAGGAAGAGAUCGAGAAGAGAAAAAGGAAAGAGAAGGAGAAAGGCAAGAGACAGUUUUGGGUUUGAGUUUGGGUUAGAGAUUUGUGUGUAUAAAAGACAGGGAGACGGGGACAAUUGCUAAGUUUGGGAUAUGUUUUACUUUUGUUUUACAUGUUGUAAAUUCUUAAUUUAGUACCUGCAGUGUCGAACCACUUGAACGGAAGUGAUAGUGGCAACGACAUGGGGGUUGGGCGCGGCCGUGGACGUGGGUGUUUGGGCCUGGUCAUUCUCCAUCUUUCACGAUAGAGAAGAAGUCAAGAAAGGCAAGGAAAUUACGCAGCAGCUGCGGCAUGGGCUCUAUUGC
rnacentral:lncRNA from 1 species